UAUAAGUAUUCGUUUGUAUGUCCAAAGGGGAAUUCUCUAUGGAGCACUACCGAGCGAAAAUCACGGCAGAUGCGAUAUUCAAAAUUGUGCGAUAAUUUUAAUUUUUAUAUCAAACAAGCUUACAGGCUGUUGUUUAACUUCUGCUGUACACAUCAUAAAAUCUACAUUUUAUUGUGGCAACCGAAAAAUGUUAUCAACCAGAAAGAACUAAGUAAAAAUGUGAAAUUCUCUGAUUUGAACAAACCAACGCUGCCUUAGGUAAAAUAACAUAUAAAUUUGUUUAUGCCUAAAAUAUGUAUUCUCCAAAUCAUCGUUAGCGUAACCCGUCCUUGGGAUAUUCUCUCCCAUACAAUUUCAAAAAGUUUGUUAAUGACUUCGAGAAGGGGCGAAGUAUGUAUAAACGAAGAAGUUCCGAUUAUUAUGUAGUACUACUACUAUUUACUUAGUACUACGUAUUACAUGAUUUUACCUGACGGCCACCCUCUCUUAAUGCAAAAAUUUGUUUCUAGCCACAUCGGUGCAUUAACUAUA